rnacentral:rRNA from 1 species
GUGGGGAAUUUUGCGCAAUGGGGGAAACCCUGACGCAGCAACGCCGCGUGGAGGAUGAAGUAUCUUGGUACGUAAACUCCUUUCGAUAGGGAAGAUAAUGACGGUACCUAUAGAAGAAGCCCCGGCUAACUUCGUGCCAGCAGCCGCGGUAAUACGAGGGGGGCAAGCGUUGUUCGGAUUUAUUGGGCGUAAAGGGUGCGUAGGCGGUUUGAUAAGUCUUGUGUGAAAUCUAUGGGCUCAACCCAUAGCCUGAACGAGAAACUGUCGGGCUGGAGUAUGGGAGAGGUGAGUGGAAUUUCCGGUGUAGCGGUGAAAUGCGUAGAUAUCGGAAGGAACACCUGUGGCGAAAGCGGCUCACUGGACCAUUACUGACGCUGAUGCACGAAAGCUAGGGGAGCAAACAGG